GCUCGGGUGGUGGAAUCGGUAGACACAAGUGACUUAAAAUCCAUCGGGAGCAACCCCGUGCGAGUUCAAGUCUCGCCCCGAGCA
rnacentral:tRNA from 1 species